AAACCAGCAACUCAAGUGGUCAGGAGGUUUAUUGGGCCUAAAGCAUCCGUAGCCUGCUGUAUAAGCUUUCGGUUAAAUCCAUACGCUCAACGUAUGGGCCGCCGGGAAUAAUGUACAGCUAGGGAGUGGGAGAGGUAGACGGUACUCGGUAGGAAGGGGUAAAAUCCUUUGAUCUAUUGAGGACCACCUGUGGCGAAGGCGGUCUACCAGAACACGUUCGACGGUGAGGGAUGAAAGCUGGGGGAGCAAACCGGAUUAGAAACCCGAGUAGUCC
rnacentral:rRNA from 1 species